rnacentral:rRNA from 1 species
GACGAACGCUGGCGGCGUGCUUAACACAUGCAAGUCGAACGGAAAGGCCCUGCUUUUGUGGGGUGCUCGAGUGGCGAACGGGUGAGUAACACGUGAGUAACCUGCCCUUGACUUUGGGAUACUUCAGGAAACUGGGGCUAAUACCGGAUAGGAGCUCCUGCUGCAUGUGGGGGUUGGAAAGUUUCGGCGGUUGGGGAUGGACUCGCGGCUUAUCAGCUUGUUGGUGGGGUAGUGGCUUACCAAGGCUUUGACGGGUAGCCGGCCUGAGAGGGUGACCGGCCACAUUGGGACUGAGAUACGGCCCAGACUCCUACGGGAGGCAGCAGUGGGGAAUAUUGCACAAUGGGCGGAAGCCUGAUGCAGCAACGCCGCGUGCGGGAUGACGGCCUUCGGGUUGUAAACCGCUUUCGCCUGUGACGAAGCGUGAGUGACGGUAAUGGGUAAAGAAGCACCGGCUAACUACGU